UGGGGAAUAUUGGACAAUGGGCGCAAGCCUGAUCCAGCAAUGCCGCGUGAGUGAUGAAGGCCUUAGGGUUGUAAAGCUCUUUUACCCGGGAAGAUAAUGACUGUACCGGGAGAAUAAGCCCCGGCUAACUCCGUG
rnacentral:rRNA from 1 species